UACGUAGGGGGCAAGCGUUGUCCGGAAUCAUUGGGCGUAAAGGGCGCGUAGGUGGUUCUGUAUGUCUACCGUGAAAGCCCACGGCUCAACCGUGGAGGGUCAUUGGAAACUGGGGAACUUGAGUGCAGGAGAGAAGAGUGGAAUUCCACGUGUAGCGGUGAAAUGCGUAGAGAUGUGGAGGAGCACCAGUGGCGAAGGCGACUCUUUGGCCUGUAACUGACACUGAGGCGCGAAAGCGUGGGGAGCAAACAGG
rnacentral:rRNA from 1 species